rnacentral:tRNA from 1 species
UGGCUCAGACGGUAAAGCGUCUGCCUACAAUGUAGGAGACCCAGGUUCAACCCCUGG